GACGAACGCUGGCGGCGUGCUUAACACAUGCAAGUCGAACGGAGAGGCCCUGCUUUUGUGGGGUGCUCGAGUGGCGAAAGGGUGAGUAACACGUGAGUAACCUGCCCUUGACUUUGGGAUAACUUCAGGAAACUGGGGCUAAUACCGGAUAGGAGCUCCUGCUGCAUGGUGGGGGUUGGAAAGUUUCGGCGGUUGGGGAUGGACUCGCGGCUUAUCAGCUUGUUGGUGGGGUAGUGGCUUACCAAGGCUUUGACGGGUAGCCGGCCUGAGAGGGUGACCGGCCACAUUGGGACUGAGAUACGGCCCAGACUCCUACGGGAGGCAGCAGUGGGGAAUAUUGCACAAUGGGCGGAAGCCUGAUGCAGCAACGCCGCGUGCGGGAUGACGGCCUUCGGGUUGUAAACCGCUUUCGCCUGUGACGAAGCGUGAGUGACGGUAAUGGGUAAAGAAGCACCGGCUAACUACGUG
rnacentral:rRNA from 1 species